AGAGUGAACGCUGGCGGUAGGCCUAACACAUGCAAGUCGAACGGCAGCACAGGAGAGCUUGCUCUCUGGGUGGCGAGUGGCGGACGGGUGAGGAAUACAUCGGAAUCUACCUUUUCGUGGGGGAUAACGUAGGGAAACUUACGCUAAUACCGCAUAAGACCUUCGGGUGAAAGCCGGGGACCUUCGGGCCUGGCGCGGAUAGAUGAGCCGAUGUCGGAUUAGCUUGUUGGCGGGUAAAAGCCCACCAAGGCGACGAUCCGUAGCUGGUCUGAGAGGAUGAUCAGCCACACUGGAACUGAGACGACGGUCCAGACUCCUACGGGAGGCAGCAGUGGGGAAUAUUGGACAAUGGGCGACGAAGCCUGACUCCGAAGCCAUACCGCGUGGGUGAAGAAGGCCUUACGGUGUAAAGCCUUUAGUUGGAAAG
rnacentral:rRNA from 1 species